UACAGAGGGUGCAAGCGUUGUUCGGAAUUAUUGGGCGUAAAGCGCGUGUAGGCGGCUUUGCAAGUCGGGUGUGAAAGCCCUCGGCUCAACCGAGGAAGUGCGCCCGAAACUGCAGAGCUUGAGUACCGGAGAGGAUGGCGGAAUUCCCCAAGUAGAGGUGAAAUUCGUAGAUAUGGGGAGGAACACCGGCGGCGAAGGCGGCCAUCUGGACGGAUACUGACGCUGAGACGCGAAAGCGUGGGGAGCAAACAGG
rnacentral:rRNA from 1 species